UACGUAGGGGGCUAGCGUUGCUCGGAAUUACUGGGCGUAAAGGGCGUGUAGGCGGCUAUCUAAGUUGGGGGUGAAAUCCCGGGGCUCAACCUCGGAAUUGCCUUCAAAACUGGAUAUCUUGAGUUCGGGAGAGGUGAGUGGAACUCCGAGUGUAGAGGUGAAAUGCGCAGAUAUUCGGAAGAACACCAGUGGCGAAGGCGACUCACUGGCCCGAUACUGACGCUGAGGCGCGAAAGCGUGGGGAGCAAACAGG
rnacentral:rRNA from 1 species